GACGAACGCUGGCGGCGUGCUUAACACAUGCAAGUCGAACGGUGAAGGGACCAGCUUGCUGGUUCUGGAUGAGUGGCGAACGGGUGAGUAACACGUGGGUAACCUGCCCCCUUCUUCUGGAUAACCGCAUGAAAGUGUGGCUAAUACGGGAUAUUCUGGGUCUGUCGCAUGGCGGGCCCGGGAAAGAUAUUGCUUCGGUGGGGGAUGGGCUCGCGGCCUAUCAGCUUGUUGGUGGGGUGAUGGCCUACCAAGGCGGGGACGGGUAGCCGGCCUGAGAGGGGGGACGGUCACACUGGGACUGGGACACGGCCCAGACUCCUACGGGAGGCAGCAGUGGGGAAUAUUGCACAAUGGGCGCAAGCCUGAUGCAGCGACGCCGCGUGAGGGAUGGAGGCCUUCGGGUUGUAAACCUCUUUCGCCAGUGAAGCAGGCCUGCUCCUUGUGGGUGGGUUGACGGUAGCUGGAUAAGAAGCGCCGGCUAACUACGUG
rnacentral:rRNA from 1 species